rnacentral:rRNA from 1 species
UACGGAGGGUGCAAGCGUUGUCCGGAAUCACUGGGCGUAAAGGGCGCGUAGGCGGCUCGGUAAGUAGGGGGUGAAAUCCUGCGGCUUAACCGCAGGGCUGCCUUCUAAACUGUCGAGCUUGAGCACGGUAGAGGCAGAUGGAAUUCCCGGUGUAGCGGUGGAAUGCGUAGAUAUCGGGAGGAACACCAGUGGCGAAGGCGGCGACCUGGGCCAAUACUGACGCUGAGGUGCGAAAGCGUGGGGAGCGAACAGG